AUAAAGAGAAACACAAAGGAACAACUGCUUUCUGAUUUGAAUGUAGGGAGAGAAGUCUGGCUUCGUAUUUUUAAAAAUCAUCUAAUUUGCAUCACCUGGGCCUCGCUUUUCAUACGACGACAAGUGUGUUCAUCAUACUCAAAAAUAAGUGACUGAUUCAUGACAACCCAGCAAAAGAGUGGAGUCAGAACAAGAGCAAGUCAUCAGGACACCAGCUCCAAAGGACAGGCUUCUGUCUCUAUUUUCUAACCGGCAGUGACAAGCUUUUCAAAAACCCCAGGCCAGCUGCAAGUCAGUGAUAAAGGGCACAGUGAGCCCUGCCACUCCAACAGAGGCAAGCCCAGAUGGGCGAGGCCACCAGCGACCUCCACAGCGAGGGAAGCCUCCCUGGUGUCAAGCCUUGGGGGUUGGCAAGAAGCAAGGACCAGAGCUCCAGGUUCCAGAUGAAGAAGCUGAUGCUCAAAGGAGACAGGCAGGAUAGGCCCAAGAUCACAAAGGUCACCCCAAGAAUCAAGCCCUCUCUGCUAAGUCAGCAUGCUUUCUCCGGCCACAUCCAAAGCCAGGCCCUGCUGAUGCGUCUUCCAAAACAUCUCCCUCGCCCCACAACCCCCCAUGUCGGUCACGGACACACCACCCUGCCCAGCUUGCUGCCUCUAUGACACCACUCGCCACUGAGACCUCACCUGGCCUACCGGGGAGAGGUGGCCACAGGCUGGCUGAGAGCCCACAGGGCUGGAGGCUGCCACUUUCCAGCUGUGCAGCCUGAGUGUCGCCUGCUGUAAAAGGGGACGAAGACAGACCCUGCCGGGAGGGUCACUUACAAGAAAUGAAGCACACGAAGCCCGCCCUGGAUCUGGCCUCGUCAGGACAUACACAGGGAUCCUGGAAGCAACCCCUGCCACUCCCAAGGUCAAAAUGCUCCCGGGUUGAAGACCCACAUCCAUAAUAUCUGUGUACACAAAGGUUCCCAGCAGUUUCACUCAAAAGAGCAGAAGUGGAAAGAACCCAAAUGUCCACCAACCAUGAAAGAGUGAUCAAACCAUGGCCUACUCCUGGGGCCUAUGAUGAGGGCCAUAAAAAGGGACAAGGUCCCAUGCAGGCCCCACGGUGCAUUGACCUUGAAAACACGAGGCUAGAUGAAAUUAGCCAGGUACAAAGGAGACAUGUUGUUGAUUCCACCUUUUUGGAAAUACACCACGUAGGCAAAUUCGUAGAAAUAGAAAGCAAAUUAGGGGUUGCCAGGAGCUGGGGGAGGAGGGACUGGGAACACCCCCCAAUGACAUGGGGUUUCCUUUGGAGGUCAUGAAACUGUAACAGGGGUUACCUGAUGCUCUGACUAUAUCCCUUGUGGCUUUGAAACUUGCAUAUUCUUUUUUCUUUUUCCCAAUCUUCUUUUCCCUAAACUUCUGCUCCCUGAUCUUCUCCUUUCUGAUCUCUCCCUUUUCUCAUUUUCUCUGAAUCACCUCUAUGAAAGCCCCCUUUUCCUGCAGAUGGGCAGAAUCUCAGCCUUUGGGACAGGAGUCCCUAUUUCUCCUUUGCCAGCAAAGCAAUAAACCUUCUUUUUCCUUUUUCUCAA